UCUCGAUAACGUAAAAGUUAACUCUGUAUGGAGAUGGAAUGUUUGCAUACGUUUGCCGCUAGGGGCGCUGUUCCAACUGCAUACAAAUUUGAGUUAACUUUUACGCUAUCGA
rnacentral:pre_miRNA from 9 species